UACGUAGGUGGCAAGCGUUGUCCGGAUUUAUUGGGUUUAAAGGGUGCGUAGGCGGCUUUGUAAGUCAGUGGUGAAAUAUGGCAGCUCAACUGUCAGGGUGCCAUUGAUACUGCGGAGCUUGAGUACAGAUGAGGUAGGCGGAAUUGACGGUGUAGCGGUGAAAUGCUUAGAUAUCGUCAAGAACACCGAUAGCGAAGGCAGCUUACUAGGCUGUAACUGACGCUGAGGCACGAAAGUGUGGGGAUCAAACCGG
rnacentral:rRNA from 1 species